GGGAAAGUUGCAAAGAACUUUGAAGAGAGAGUUCAAGAGUACGUGAAACUGCUUAGGGGCAAACGGGUGGGCCCUCGAAGUCCGCGCGGAGAGGGAUUCAGCCCUGUGCGGCGGGCGGCGCGGUCUCCGGCGACCCCUGGGUGGGGUGCCGAGGCGGCGUCGUUCCUGCCUUGCGCGGGACGCACUUCUCUCUCCCGAAGGACGCCGCAGCCUCUCGGAGGUCGGCAGGAAGGACGACGCGGGUAGGUGGCGUGGGCGUCGGUCUCCGCACCGGCGCCCCGUGUCUGGCCCGCGGGAGUCCGAGCGCGGCCUCCGCGAGUGGGAGCACGGUCCCGUUCGCGGGACCGGCCGUUGCCUCGCGUCAAAGCGAGCGGCGGGCGAGUAUCAGGGACGCUGAGUGUUCCGGACGUCACCGGGCUGGUGGCGCUGGACUCGCGGUACCCGCUGGGUCUCGCCCAGCCGCGGCGCAGUUGCAAACGGCUUGCGGCGAGUAGGUCGGUAACCCACCCGGCCCGUCUUGAAACACGGACCAAGGAGUCUAACAUGUGCGCGAGUCAGUGGGUCUUGGAUAGGCCCACGGGCGAAAACGAAAGUGAGAAACCGCCCUAGGAGUGUCGGGAACCCUGUCGCAUCGCGGCUGAGGCGCACCGACGGCCUGGGUCUUGCGAUAUCGCGGGCCCGGAGUCUGAGCGCACACGUUGGGACCCGAAAGAUGGUGAACUAUGCCCGGGCAGGUCGAAGCUAGAGGAAACUCUGGUGGAGGACCGCAGCGGUUCUGACGUGCAAAUCGAUCGUCGAACCUAGG
rnacentral:rRNA from 1 species